AGAGACCCUGUGGAAGAGAGACGGAGACUGCGGCAAAAAGAGGAAAGGAGGGUUACGGGCACCGAGGGGGAGCUGGAGUCAGCCGCAAGGAGAGAGGGAGCGGGGGAGGAAAAGAGGCGGGAGAGAGACCCUAAAAAGCAAGCUAGACUCUCCAGCCGGCCGCUCUGGUGUGGGGAGGGAGCGUCAUCUCAAGGACACUGAAAAAGCUGUUUGCCGUUUUGCUGUUUGCCUCCUUGUCACGACCUCAGCGACGGCAGAUGGAGCCAGUGGAGGGAGAGAGACAGACGGCAAUGCUUGGGUAGCCAGGGCUCCCUGCCGGCCCCACUCCUCCUGCAGACACGAGCACGCACACACACACGCGCGCAAAACACACACGCUGCCCUUCGCCACACGUAGCCAAGUAAAAUACACAAAAAGCAACUGAGAUACCAUUCGCACAUGACCACAUGGAAACACACAAAUGAACAAACGCAUUCAGGCAUAGCCACAUGCCAGUCACACAGAUGGAUAGACAAGAGCCUGGGGUACAAAGCCACAUGGCACAAAGCCACCUGGAUGUAUAUGCCCCUACACACGCACACAGAAAAAAACAUGCAAACUUAAGUACACACCUAUCCAGACAAGUGUGAGUGCACACACACACACACUCACACACUCUACCUGACACGUUAGUGCAUCCCCAUUGGGCCCCAGUUUCUCUCAGCAAAUUCAGAUCACCCAGCCUG
rnacentral:lncRNA from 10 species